rnacentral:rRNA from 1 species
GCCCAAUACUAAACCUCAAAAGUUGUUUACUUUUAGAGGCAUGUAGUGUUUAGGAGAAUUCAAUUAUCCUAGUAAUUUUAACUGAGUCCAAGUCCAUCUUGAACGGGGCCAUUGUCCAUAGAGGGUGCUAGGCCCGUAGUGACUGGUUAUAUUACUAGGUGAAUCUCUCUUUAGAGUCGGGUUGCUUGAGAGUGCAUCCCAAAGUGGGUGGUAAACUCCAUCUAAGGCUAAAUAUGACCACGAGACCGAUAGCGAACAAGUACCGUGAGGGAAAGUUGAAAAGAACUUUGAAGAGAGAGUUCAAGAGUGCGUGAAACUGUUCAGGGGUAAACGGAGGAGUCCCGAAAAUUCGAAAGAGGAGAUUCAUGUUCUCUUGUAAAUAUCUAGUUCAGACGAAUUUUUGACGAUUGUAUUUUUCCAAAUACGGAGCAAUCUGUUGUUUGGAAAGCGGUCGCUUUUAUUCGAAUGUUUCUAGUGCAAAGAACUGCACUUCUCCUUCAAGUAGGACGUUGCGACCCUUCUAAUUUUUUUUUAAGAUCUAGGUGUUAACAGUGAAGCCUAUCCAUUAAUAAUAUUUUUAAAAAAUGUUAAUUUUUGGUAGACACUUGUUAAUUUAACUGAUCUUAGUUGGAAGGUAUCAGUUGGCAGCAUUGAACCGCUUAAUUGCGUCUUGAAACAAUUUGAAAGGUUAAUUUUUAACCAAAUUAAAAACUAAAUAUGUUUUGACUGGUUACAUAAUUAUUAACCUGUUGGCUAUUGUUUAUUGAGACUGGUUUAAAAAUGCUCGUCGGCGACGAUAAAGUUUCGGGCACUUAUCUGACCCGUCUUGAAACACGGACCAAGGAGUCUAACAUGUGCGCAAGUCAUUGAGUUGUAAAACUUAAAGGCAAAGUGAAAAUAAAGGGCUUCGGCCUUAAGGAGGAUAAGCAUAUUAUUUCAAAAUGCUUCGCACUCCCAGGGUGUCUAUGACUUUCUUCUUUUUUGAAGGGUUUUGACACAUCUAGAGCGUACACGUUGGGACCCGAAAGAUGGUGAACUAUGCCUGGCCAGGAUGAAGCUAGGGGAAACCCUGGUGGAAGUCCGUAGCGAUUCUGACGUGCAAAUCGAUCGUCUGAGCUGGGUAUAGGGGCGAAAGACUAAUCGAACCAUCUAGUAGCUGGUUCCCUCCGAAGUUUCCCUCAGGAUAGCUGGUGCUCGAGUGUUAAGAGUCUCAUCUGGUAAAGCGAAUGAUUAGAGGUCUUGGGGUCGAAACGAUCUCAACCUAUUCUCAAACUUUAAAUGGAUGAGAACUUUGGCUUUCUCAAAAUUGUUGUGAAGCUAAAGAUUUGGAUCAGAGUGCCAAGUGGGCCAAUUUUGGUAAGCAGAACUGGCGCUGCGGGAUGAACUGAACAUAGAGUUAAGGUGCCUAAACAAUGCUCAUGAGAUACCAUGAAAGGUGUUGGUUGCUUAUGACAGCAGGACGGUGGCCAUGGAAGUUGGAAUCCGCUAAGGAGUGUGUAACAACUCACCUGCCGAAGCAACUAGCCCUGAAAAUGGAUGGCGCUGUAGCGUUGUACCUAUACUCUAUCGUCAACAGCAUAGACAGCACAGUGAAAUAAAUGUAGUUGGUUAAGCUUUGACGAGUAGGAGGGUCAUAACAAUGAGCGUGGAAGUGUUUUGGGCGUAAGCCUGCACGGAGCUAUUGUUAGUGCAGAUCUUGGUGGUAGUAGCAAAUACUCCAGCGAGACCCUGGAGGACUGACGUGGAGAAGGGUUUCCUGUGAACAGCUAUUGCACAAGAGUCAGUCGAGCCUAAGCCCUAAAAGAAGUCUAAUGGUAAUAAGUGCAUUUAUUUCCAUAAAGAAGGCACUCGACGGGCGAAAGGGAAUUCGGUUCCUAUUCCGAAACCUGAUGUCGGAACUGAUUAAAAGCGGGCCCUCAAUUGUGAGAGCUCGUCGGGGUAACCCAAAAAGACUCGGAGACACUGACAGGAGAUUUAGAGAGAGUUGUCUCUUCUCUAUAAGCGUUCGAGUUCCCUGGAAUUCUCUAGCAGAGAGAUAGGGUUUGGAAUGCUAAGAGCAUCACAGUUACAGUGGUGUCUAAAUUUUCCUGUUGGACCUUGAAAAUCCGAGAGAGGGCAACGUGGAAUACCGAUUCAGCUCGUACCCAUAUCCGCAGCAGGUCUCCAAGGUCAACAGCCUCUAGUCGAUAGAAUAAUGUAGGUAAGGGAAGUCGGCAAAUUGGAUCCCUAACUUCGGGAUAAGGAUUGGCUCUGAGGAACGUGGUGAGCUGGGCUUGAUAGGAAAGUGAGAUUGUGUCAACGUGCAGGGACUGGAACAGGGACACAAGAAUUUAUUAUUAAAUUCUAGACUCUAUUUCGGUCUCUUGCCUUGAUCACUGACGGAACUGUCUUGCUGCGAACUGUAUGUUGACUAGUUGCUAACUUUUGGGUUAGUAAACGGGCGUUCAGUAUCUUCAGCCAUCAUUUAACGUUCAACUUAGAACUGGCACUUACAAGGGGA